AUGGGGCGAGGGAGAAGGAGUGGCAUGAGGCCAGUGCCGUUGUUCUUGGUGCUGGUGCUGGUGCUGGUGUUGGUGUUCAUGGCCAUGGCGAGGGUGGCUGCGGCCGAGGGAAGCGACGUUGCCGAUGGUGUCGAUGCCGGCGAGGACGAGGCUUUUGAGAAGAGGUUCUUGAAGCUGUGGACGGACGGAGGCGGCGGGGACGAGGAAGACCACCUCAGAUGGUACGGUGAUGACGACGAUGAUUAUGGUGAUAUCUACGACGACGAAAAGGUCGAAGAGAUGGUGGAGGAGGAGGAGGGGGAAGAUGGCAUUAUGCUGGGGGUGACGAGAUGCCCGAAUCCGAACAAGAAGAAGAAGACGAAGAGGAACGUCGUGAAGGUCGACAGCUACGGCGCGGUGGGCGACGGCUGCGCCGACGACACAGAGGCAUUCGCAAAGGCGUGGGAGAAGGCGUGCUCGCUCAAGGACGCGGUGCUGGUGGUGCCCAAAGGCCGGCGCUACAAGAUCGGCCCGAGCCGGUUCAUGGGCCCGUGCAAGGAGAGGCUGGUGGUGCUGAUCCACGGCACCAUCGUGGCGCCGGAGGAGCCGUCGCAGUGGGACCCCAGGAGCCCGCGUCUGUGGCUCCUCUUCGGCGGGCUCGUCGGCGCGCGCAUCCAAGGCGGGGGCGUCAUCGACGGCUCCGGCUCCAAAUGGUGGGCCAACUCCUGCAAGAUCGACCGGUCCAAGCCGUGCAAGGGCGCGCCAACGGCGGUGACCAUCGACUCGUGCCGGGGCGUGCGGGUGCGCGGCCUGACCGUCCAGAACGCGCAGCAGAUGCACCUGACGGUGUCGCGGUCGCGCGGGGUGCGGCUGGACGGCAUGGCCAUCCAGGCGCCGGGGGACAGCCCCAACACCGACGGCAUCCACGUGGCGGAGUCCACGGCGGUGACCAUCACCGGCGCCCGCAUCGGCACCGGCGACGACUGCGUGUCCAUCUCCAACGCCAGCUUCGCGGUGAAGAUGAAGGGCAUCGUGUGCGACCCGGGCCACGGCAUCAGCAUCGGCAGCCUGGGGCGGGGCGGCUCCUACGCCGCCGUGGAGGGGGUGACCCUCGACGACGCCCGCAUCUCCCGCGCCCAGAACGGCGUCCGGAUCAAGACCUGGCAGGGCGGCGCCGGGUACGUGCGCAACGUGCGCUUCUCCAACGUGCUGGUGGAGGCCGUCGACCACCCCAUCAUCAUCGACCAGUUCUACUGCGACGCCAGGACGGCGUGCGCCAACCAGACCAGCAACGUGGCCGUCAGCAACGUCUCGUACCGGAACAUCUCCGGCACGGCCACGCGGGACGAGGCCAUCAAGUUCGCCUGCAGCGACGCCGUGCCCUGCAGCGACAUCGUGCUCAGCAACAUCAACCUGCUCGGCGACGACGGUGCCGAGGUGCAGGCCGUGUGCAACUGCGCCAUGGGGCUGGGCUACGACCCCGUCCGCCCCGCCGUCGACUGCCUCAGGAACAACGCGUGCGGCGGCGGCGGCGGAGGGCAGAAGUUGGGCGCGGAGGAGCCGUCGACGACGGACGCGCCGCUGCACGCCGAGCUGUGA
rnacentral:rRNA from 1 species